rnacentral:rRNA from 1 species
CCUACGGGUGGCUGCAGUGAGGAAUAUUGGUCAAUGGGCGUAAGCCUGAACCAGCCAAGUCGCGUGAGGGAUGAAGGUUCUAUGGAUCGUAAACCUCUUUUAUAAGGGAAUAAAGUGCGGGGCGUGUCCCGUUUUGUAUGUACCUUAUGAAUAAGGAUCGGCUAACUCCGUGCCAGCAGCCGCGGUAAUACGGAGGAUCCGAGCGUUAUCCGGAUUUAUUGGGUUUAAAGGGUGCGUAGGCGGCCUUUUAAGUCAGCGGUGAAAGUCUGUGGCUCAACCAUAGAAGUGCCGUUGAACCUGGGAGGUGGGGGUAUGUUUGGGGCAGGCGGAAGGCGUGGGGUAGCGGUGAA